CUGACACCUAAAAAACAAACAAGAGAAAGUGAAAAUGAAAAGCAAAUCAGCAUUAACAACAAGAUUCUGCUGACUUCUAUCAAAAUUCAUCCCUGCAUAUCUAUGAAGAAAAUAAAGCAAGUUUUUACCACCAGUCCCUCCAGUACUGAUGUGUACACGUUAUUCCAAAACAAGUGAUUACUUGGAUAGUGCAGGACUAUUUGCACAGAAUCACAUCUCCUGUCUGUCAUUCUGGCCAUGCUAUUGUCCUAAGGAUUUCCAAAGGUCUGGCAUCAUUCCCAAAAUGUUAGAGGCAGAAGUGUCUUCAAAGGCAACCCAUAAUAAA